rnacentral:rRNA from 1 species
UACGGGGGGGGCAAGCGUUGUUCGGAAUUACUGGGCGUAAAGGGCUCGUAGGUGGCCAACUAAGUCAGACGUGAAAUCCCUCGGCUUAACCGGGGAACUGCGUCUGAUACUGGAUGGCUUGAGUUCGGGAGAGGGAUGCGGAAUUCCAGGUGUAGCGGUGAAAUGCGUAGAUAUCUGGAGGAACACCGGUGGCGAAGGCGGCAUCCUGGACCGACACUGACGCUGAGGAGCGGAAGCCAGGGGAGCAAACGGG